rnacentral:rRNA from 1 species
AUUGAACGCUGGCGGCAUGCCUUACACAUGCAAGUCGAACGGUAACAGGUCUUCGGAUGCUGACGAGUGGCGAACGGGUGAGUAAUACAUCGGAACGUGCCCGAUCGUGGGGGAUAACGGAGCGAAAGCUUUGCUAAUACCGCAUACGAUCUACGGAUGAAAGCAGGGGACCGCAAGGCCUUGCGCGGACGGAGCGGCCGAUGGCAGAUUAGGUAGUUGGUGGGAUAAAAGCUUACCAAGCCGACGAUCUGUAGCUGGUCUGAGAGGACGACGAGCCACACUGGGACUGAGACACGGCCCAGACUCCUACGGGAGGCAGCAGUGGGGAAUUUUGGACAAUGGGCGCAAGCCUGAUCCAGCCAUGCCGCGUGCAGGAUGAAGGCCUUCGGGUUGUAAACUGCUUUUGUACGGAACGAAAGGACUCUGGUUAAUACCUGGGGUCCAUGACGGUACCGUAAGAAUAAGCACCGGCUAACUACGUGCCAGCCGCCGCAGUAAUAC